GAGAGGACCUCCCCGUCCCCAGGCUAGAGGCUGAGGAGUUGGAAAAGACUCCAGUCUAUUCCCAGAGCAAGUGUAGCAUUGACUGCCUGGAGACUCAGAGCACAGUCCUAGGGCAGCCUUGAGUCUUCUGGGGCUGGGCCAACUCCUCCGCCCACCAGCUAAGCCUCACCCUGGAGGCAAGAGUAACCAAUCCACCCAAUUCCCCUGCUGCUGGACCCCUCCUGGACUACCAGUGCCCAUCGAAACUGAGGAGGUAACUGAGGCCCAGAAGGUUGCAGAGCUGAUGAUUCUAACCGAGAUUCCAGAACAAAGAGUGUGGCUGCUCCAAGCAGAGAAGGAAUGGACGGUCGGGCUGCUGACUCUGCCCUGGAGUGAGGGUAGCUGUGUCUUGGAGGCUCUCACCAGGGCUCGGAUGGGCUCAGGGCUCAGCAUGGGGCCUGUGUAGACCUCUUUUUGCAGGCUAGAAUGGGGGACCCCACCAUGUUAUGAUUCUGGGACCAGCCACGGCAAUAAGAGGGUAAAGGUCUUUACAGGAGGUCUCUGUUGCCCAAGACAGCUGGGUAUCUGGAGAUCACACAGGCUUGA
rnacentral:lncRNA from 1 species